GUUGAAACACCGAUUCCUGUAUGAUCACCAAAGUUAAGCAACAUUGAGCCUGGUCAGUACCAUGAUGGGUGACCAUUUGAGAAUACCAGGUGCUGUAAG